GACGAACGCUGGCGGCGUGCUUAACACAUGCAAGUCGAACGGAAAGGCCCUGCUUGCCGGGUACUCGAGUGGCGAACGGGUGAGUAACACGUGGGUGAUCUGCCCUGCACUUCGGGAUAAGCCUGGGAAACUGGGUCUAAUACCGGAUAGGAGCCAUUUUUAGUGUGAUGGUUGGAAAGUUUUUUCGGUGUAGGAUGAGCUCGCGGCCUAUCAGCUUGUUGGUGGGGUAAUGGCCUACCAAGGCGGCGACGGGUAGCCGGCCUGAGAGGGUGGACGGCCACAUUGGGACUGAGAUACGGCCCAGACUCCUACGGGAGGCAGCAGUGGGGAAUAUUGCACAAUGGGCGCAAGCCUGAUGCAGCGACGCCGCGUGGGGGAUGACGGCCUUCGGGUUGUAAACUCCUUUCGCUAGGGACGAAGCUUUUUGUGACGGUACCUAGAUAAGAGGCACCGGCUAACUACGUG
rnacentral:rRNA from 1 species